rnacentral:lncRNA from 10 species
CAGAAGGUGGCUGUCUGCAAGCCAAUAGCGGGCCCUCACCAGAGCCCGACCAUGCGGGCACCCUGAUCUCAGACUUCCACCCGCCAGAACUGUAAUAACAUUUCUGUUGUUUCAGCUACCCAGUCUAUUGUCUUUUGAGCAGACUGAGACACUUAGCAAACACGAUGGAAUGGGAAACAGGAAGGGGGAACAGAUGAGGUAUUGGGCUGGGCCCCUGUGUUCAGGCUGCUGCCCCACCUCAUUUAAAGUGAAUCAUGGAGUCGACCUGAGAUUUUCCUCUUCACCACUUUAUCAGCAACAGUUUCCCCUUGUUUCUCCCCACUCUACAGGAAUGAGAUGUGUGAAGUUUGACCAACUUGUGAGUAAAUGGCAGAGAUGUCACCAGCUGGGGAUGGAUGCCUCUGGAGCUCCAGUUGCUGGAAUCCAACCUCUCCUGUGUCAUCACCUCUGUGUUCCCUUCUUGGAGCCCAUCCAGUGAAUGGGGGACACCAAAAACCAUCUAAGCUUCAGGUUGUGCAAAACUCACUCUCUCCUUGGACUGGAAGCUAAAUAAACAUAAAGGAAGGAACACUGGACUAAUAGGUUUGCAGGGAGGGAGGAGAAUAAGAAAGAUCAAGAGGACCUACAAAGAGAAAUUUCCCAAGAAGGUGGUAACCUAAAGAAGCCACUGUGUGAGGUUCUAGGGAAUCAUGAUGGGGUAGGGAAUGGUAGUGGAGAGUGUGAAAAAAGAGGAUGUGUGGAAAUGAGGGAGGAAUGGUCUCCAAAGACACAUUUCCUGGCUUCACAAUUUUGUCCAGGCCAGAGUAAUAGAGCUCCAUUUUACUCGGGCUAACUUUAGCAGCCUACAUAUGAACACAAGGGACUUGAUUUUUUUAUUUUAAAAAAGGGAUUCCACUGAUUAUACCAAUUGAGCAUCUCAAUGAUACUGUAAGGGAGCAAAGGCACAUAUACUCAUUAGCUGCAUUUCACAGGUCCCAAACCACAGUGAAUGUCUGCUGUCUUGUCUACCCAGAGCAGAAUUCCUCUACUCUGCUUCAUUGGGAAAUCUUCCCGAAUGGGAGUUGCCAUAUUUGUUGCCCAGGCAGCUCCAGGGCUGGGCAGUGGAGCUCUCCUGGAAUUUUACAAUGGGGGACUAGCCAGAGCAGCCCUCACUUGCUUUUGGGUGGUAAGUGGGAGGAUGUCUAGGAGUGCUGCCUGCAGUCAUGUUGUGAUGGUUGAAUUUAUGGUUCAACUUGACCAGGCUAAGGGCUGCCCAGAUGGCUGGUAACAUAUUGCAGGGUGUGUCUGUGAGGGUGUCUCUGGAAGAGAUUAUCAUUUGAAUUGGUGGAGUGAGUAAAGAAGAUCACCAAUGCAGUGGGCGUCAUCCUAUCCAUUGGGGAUCCAAAUAGAACGAAAGGCAGAGAAAGACUGGAUUCUCUUGCUCUCUUCUUGAGCUGGGACAGCCGUCUUCUCCUGCCCUCAGACACUGGUACUCCUGGUUCUCAGGCCUUCAGACUCAGACUGAAACUUAUAAUGCUGGCCUCCUACCCCAACCUCACAUCCAGGCCUUUGGACUCAGCCUGAACCACCAGCUUUCCUGGUUCUCCAGCUUGCAGGUAGCAGAUCAUGGGACUUUGGCCUCCAUAAUUGUGUGAGCCAAUUCCUGAAAUAAAUCUCCUCUUCAUAUAUCUCUAUAUAUCCUAUUGGCUCUGCUUCUCUGAGAACCCUGACUAACGCACAUGUGCAGGAAGCCUGUCUGCAAGUAGGAAGCACAGGCACUGGCAGAGUAAUGAAGAGAUGGUCCUGUCCUCCAACCAGAAGAGAGCCCCCUGCACUUGGCCCAAUGCCUUAGAGGGUCUGCUCUAGCUUCUCAGGGAGGAGUCUGCAGGGCCAAGGGGAUGUGCUCCCCUGAGGUCUGUGUCCCUCUCCCCUUUGAGUCCCCG